UCCCAUUGGCUGCUUCUGCCAGCUCGUGGGCUAGUUUUCCACUUCAUUGGCUUCGACUUCUGGUCAGAGUGAAAGUUCCUUUGCCAUUGGGCCCCCUAAGUGUUUCCCCAAGAGACUUUCUCACUCCAUUGGAAGGAUUAAGAGACGUGGGAUUUAACUCCGUUUGGCUCUGCUGCAAAACAUUGGUGCGGCGCCGAGCCUCUGACAUCGUAGACCCUCUCCCCGCAUUGGUCAGGAGGAGGGCGGGUUCUGUGGGCGGGCACUCGGCGCUGGCUGGCUCCGGGAAUCAACGCAACCCCUGGAGGCCAAGGUUUUAGGAGUCCCGGAAGAAGGGGGCGGGAAUGCCUGCCCUGUGAGGCUGAAGGUGAACUGAGACCGGUCCUUUUAUCUUUUUUUUUUUCUUCUUGUAAUUAAUUGUCAAGUUCGCUAGCAUACACUGUAUAUAUACAGUGUGCUCUUGGCUUCGGGAGUGGAUUCCCAUGAUUCAUUGCUUACAUACAAUACCCAGUGCUCAUCCCAAGUGCCCUCCUCAAUGCCAGUGAUGGCCAUUCCCACUUCCACCCCAACCCCCAUCAACCCUCAGUUCUCUGUAUUUAACUGGAGGGAUAAGAUAGCCAGCGUUUUCCCCACGAGGGCAUUUCAGACCCUUGAGCAUUUCAGAGGUUUUUAACUUAGUCAUCUAAGGGCAGUCCCUUGUUUAUGUUCUUGUGUGCAUACUCCAACAUUCAAGAUUCUGCAGUUCGUUUUCAGGACUUUUUUUUUUUUUUUGCUUUCUUCUUCCUCUUCUUCUCCUCCUCCCCCUCCCCUCUCCCUCUCCCUCCCCGUCCCCUCCCCCCCCUCCUCCUCUUCUUCUUUUUAACGGGAGGCGGCGAUAGUGACCUGUCUUUGCGCACGACUAACAAGCAAAGGAAGGCUGUAUGCAGUUCUCCUGGUGCCUCUGAGACAGCAGCAACCCCUAGAGCUGCGCUGGAGAAGUUCAAGAGAUAAAAAGAGCUGGGAUCUAGGAAGAGGAAGGAAACCAGCCAGGCAGGGUGUAAGACGGUGAUGAGAAUGGGGAAAAGUCCACAAAAGACUCUGAAUAGCCAAAGUAAUGUUGAAAAAGAAAACCAAAGCUGGAGGCA